UACGGAGGGGGCUAGCGUUGUUCGGAAUUACUGGGCGUAAAGCGCACGUAGGCGGCUUUGUAAGUUAGAGGUGAAAGCCCGGGGCUCAACUCCGGAACUGCCUUUAAGACUGCAUCGCUAGAAUUGUGGAGAGGUGAGUGGAAUUCCGAGUGUAGAGGUGAAAUUCGUAGAUAUUCGGAAGAACACCAGUGGCGAAGGCGACUCACUGGACACAUAUUGACGCUGGGGUGCGAAAGCGUGGGGAGCAAACAGG
rnacentral:rRNA from 1 species